GAAAGAGCCAGACUUCUCAGAGGUCAGUGUGUUCAACAAGUGGGACCCCAGGGCCUUCUCUAUGUUCAGCAAAGAGAGCUUGCAGUGACCUCCCCAAAGGAUGGUAGGUUAGGAAGCAGUGAAUUGGGCGUUAUCCCAAAAGGCUGUUGGAUAUUUUAUUUUAUUUCUUUUUUAAACAGGCUCCAUCUCCAUUCUGGGUUCUGAUGAUGCCACUACUUGUCACAUUGUGGUCCUGAGGCACACAGGUAAUGGGGCCACCUGCUUGACACAUUGUGACGGAACCGACACCAAAGCUGAGGUCCCCUUGAUCAUGAACUCCAUAAAAUCCUUUUCUGACCACGCUCAAUGUGGAAGGUGAGAUCCACGCU
rnacentral:sRNA from 1 species